rnacentral:rRNA from 1 species
UUGGAGGGCAAGUCUGGUGCCAGCAGCCGCGGUAAUCCCAGCUCCAAUAGCGUAUAUUAAAGUUGUUGCAGUUAAAAAGCUCGUAGUUGAAUUUCGGGAUCAGCAGGUUGGUCGUGCCUCUGGUAUGCACUGGUUUCGCUGAUUCCUCCUUUCUGAAGAACUGUAAUGUCAUUAAUUUGGUGUUGCAGGGAAACAGGACUGUUACUUUGAAAAAAUUAGAGUGUUUAAAGCAAGCUAACGCUUGAAUACAUUAGCAUGGAAUAAUGAAAUAGGACGUUUGAUCCUAUUUUGUUGGUUUCUAGGAUUGACGUAAUGAUUAAUAGGGAUAGUUGGGGGCAUUAGUAUUCAAUUGUCAGAGGUGAAAUUCUUGGAUUUAUUGAAGACUAACUACUGCGAAAGCAUUUGCCAAGGAUGUUUUCAUUAAUCAAGAACGAAAGUUAGGGGAUCGAAGACGAUCAGAUACCGUCGUAGUCUUAACCAUAAACUAUGCCGACUAGGGAUCGGAUGAUGUUAAUUUUUUAAUGACUCAUUCGGCGCCUUACGGGAAAC